rnacentral:rRNA from 1 species
GAGUUUGAUUAUGGCUCAGGACGAACGCUGGCGGCGUGCUUAACACAUGCAAGUCGAGCGGAAAGGCCCUUUCGGGGUACUCGAGCGGCGAACGGGUGAGUAACACGUGAGUAACCUGCCCUUGGCUUUGGAAUAACCCUCGGAAACGGGGGCUAAUGCCGAAUACUUACUCCCGGACGCAUGUCCGGUUGUAGAAAGUUUUUCGGCCAGGGAUGGACUCGCGGCCUAUCAGCUUGUUGGUGGGGUAACGGCCUACCAAGGCGACGACGGGUAGCCGGCCUGAGAGGGCGACCGGCCACACUGGGACUGAGACACGGCCCAGACUCCUACGGGAGGCAGCAGUGGGGAAUAUUGCACAAUGGGCGAAAGCCUGAUGCAGCGACGCCGCGUGAGGGAAGACGGCCUUCGGGUUGUAAACCUCUUUCAGCUCCGACGAAGCGAAAGUGACGGUAGGAGCAGAAGAAGCGCCGGCCAACUACGUGCCAGCAGCCGCGGUAAGACGUAGGGCGCAAGCGUUGUCCGGAUUUAUUGGGCGUAAAGAGCUCGUAGGCGGCUUGUCGCGUCGACUGUGAAAACCUGCGGCUCAACCGUACGGUCUGCAGUCGAUACGGGCAGGCUAGAGUUCGGUAGGGGAGACUGGAAUUCCUGGUGUAGCGGUGAAAUGCGCAGAUAUCAGGAGGAACACCGGUGGCGAAGGCGGGUCUCUGGGCCGAUACUGACGCUGAGGAGCGAAAGCGUGGGGAGCGAACAGGAUUAGAUACCCUGGUAGUCCACGCUGUAAACGUUGGGCGCUAGGUGUGGGGGGCCUCUCCGGUCCUCUGUGCCGCAGCUAACGCAUUAAGCGCCCCGCCUGGGGAGUACGGCCGCAAGGCUAAAACUCAAAUGAAUUGACGGGG